rnacentral:tRNA from 1 species
GCAGGUGUAGUUUAACGGUAGAACUUCAGCCUUCCAAGCUGACUGCGAGGGUUCGAUUCCCUUCACCUGCUCCA